rnacentral:rRNA from 1 species
GACGAACGCUGGCGGCGUGCUUAACACAUGCAAGUCGAACGGAAAGGCCCUGCUUUUGUGGGGUGCUCGAGUGGCGAACGGGUGAGUAACACGUGAGUAACCUGCCCUUGACUUUGGGAUAACUUCAGGAAACUGGGGCUAAUACCGGAUAGGAGCUCCUGCUGCAUGGUGGGGGUUGGAAAGUUUCGGCGGUUGGGGAUGGACUCGCGGCUUAUCAGCUUGUUGGUGGGGUAGUGGCUUACCAAGGCUUUGACGGGUAGCCGGCCUGAGAGGGUGACCGGCCACAUUGGGACUGAGAUACGGCCCAGACUCUUACGGGAGGCAGCAGUGGGGAAUAUUGCACAAUGGGCGGAAGCCUGAUGCAGCAACGCCGCGUGCGGGAUGACGGCCUUCGGGUUGUAAACCGCUUUCGCCUGUGACGAAGCGUGAGUGACGGGAAUGGGGAAAGAAGCACCGGCUAACUACGU